GAUAUUUAACAUUGAAUCGACAAUCAAUAGUUUCCUAUGACGUAGACAAAACAACUAACAUAGAAUUUGAAGAAUGGUUUAAUAGAAAAUAUAAUAAAGGAUGAUUAUUUGAUGAUGUGAAAGAGCAUGAUAUGCCAUAACAUGAUAUUACACUUCUGGAAAA